GACGAACGCUGGCGGCGUGCUUAACACAUGCAAGUCGAACGGAAAGGCCCUGCUUGCAGGGUGCUCGAGUGGCGAACGGGCGAGUAACACGUGGGUGAUCUGCCCCUUACUUUGGGAUAAGCCUGGUAAACUGGGUCUAAUACUGGAUAGGACCAUGCUGUAGGUGGUGUGGUGGAAAGAUUAGGUUCGGUAGGGGAUGAGCUCGCGGCCGAUCAGCUUGUUGGUGGGCUAAUGGCCGGCUAAGGCGUCGACGGGUAGCCGGCCUGAGAGGGUGUGGGGCCAGGUUGAGACUCAGACGGGACGCAGACGCCGACAAGAGUCAGCAAUGGGGGAUAGUGUGACAUAGGCGCAAGCCGGGUGCAGCGACGGUGCGUGGGGGAUAACGGCCUUCGGGUUGUAAACAACUUACGGCCAUGAAGAAGCCCUUGUGUUGACGGUAGUGGAAGAAGAAGCACCGGCUAACUACGUG
rnacentral:rRNA from 1 species